GUGUACCAGUUCUGACUGAGCAAUGACUCAUUCUGUACCUAUAGGUGAAUAAUACGAUCUUCUGAAGGUUGGUGUUAAUCUCUCCUGUCUCUCUGAGGUCUUUCUACCUGCACUUAAAGGUCUUUGACAUAUUGGCAGGUGUCCACCACCAGAAAAGUGACAUCUACACAUUUACAUGUAUUAUCCUCUGUUAUGCCUCCACACAUCUACCUUCUCCAACUAACCUUUAGUAUGUCAUCUCACUCUCCUUUUGGUAGAUAAGGCACGUGGAAACCAACAUGUGAGAAGAUAUACUGAAAAACAUUUACCAUGCAGUAGAAUGAGAUGUCUAUUAGUGGAGGACUCAACAUGCCAGUGCUUUACAAGGAUUGAGUAUUGACUUCAAUGGUCAGGUGGAUGGUUUCGUUUCUCUGUGGCACUGGUGUAAUAGAUCUGAACACUUGCUGUGAGUUUCUCUUGUAAAAGAAAGCUGAUGGCUGAGGGUCUAGGCUAUUUGAGAUCCUUCUAACAAAUAAUAUUGUUAAAGCAUACAACCCCUUUUAUGGUUGGUAGUCUGAGUGGAAACAUUACUUGGAAAGGGCACAGAGUGGGUUAAAAAAAGAAGUCAUACCCUCCCAACCUGACAGUUACUUAAACCGUCUUGUCUCGUCAUCCUGGUCCAAUCUCAAUACCCGUGAAAUGCCUGGCGAUGCCUGCUUAACAAACCACUGACUGAGGCUGAACACCACUGUGGCCAAUAACUGGCUGACAGGCAUCUCUAGGCAUUUCCAUGCGUGUUGACAGGAGAGUAGGAAGCAGAAACCAGUGGGGACUCAGUAAACGUCAAAAGAGAGGCAGCAGGGGAUCAAUAAGAAUGACCCUCUUCCCCCAUACAACCUUCUCAAUCUGCUGUAUGUCUACCAUCCAUUAAAGGGGUUGUAUGCCUUGGACAAUACUUUUUUUGUUGAUAAGGUCACAUAAAAUUAACUGUUGCUGGGAUCCCAGAAACUACUUUAAUGAUAACAAUUAGUGAUGAGCGAAUUUCAGGAUAAAUUAGAUUCGAUGCAAAACCAAAUUUCCUCGCGCUUCGUAGUAGUGAACCGAUUUAAACUGAAAUGGUGAAAAAGACAAAAAGAAAAUUAUAUUCACCUGAUCCACUUGCUCGCUAUGGGCCGGGCACCGUCAUCUUGAUUGAAGAUCUCGGCCGAAAUCCUGUGCAUGUCAUCGCGUCCCGAGCGAGAUUUUCGCCAGACCUUCAAUCAAGAUGGCAGUGCCCGUCCCAAGCAAAUGGAUCAG